GACGAACGCUGGCGGCGUGCUUAACACAUGCAAGUCGAACGGGCCUUGUCCCCUUUUUUUUGGGGGUGGGGUUAGUGGCGAACGGGUGAGUAACACAUGAGUAACCUGCCCCUCACUUCUGGAUAACCGCUUGAAAGGGUGGCUAAUACGGGGUGUUCUGGCCUGCUCGCAUGGGUGGGUUUGGAAAGAUUCGACCGGUUUUGGUUGUUUUGGUGGGGGAUGGGCUCGCGGCCUAUCAGCUUGUUGGUGGGGUGAUGGCCUGCCAAGGCUUUGACGGGUAGCCGGCCUGAGAGGGUGGGCGGUCACACUGGGACUGAGACACGGCCCAGACUCCUACGGGAGGCAGCAGUGGGGAAUAUUGCACAAUGGGCGCAAGCCUGAUGCAGCGACGCCGCGUGAGGGAUGGAGGCCUUCGGGUUGUGAACCUCUUUCGCCAGUGAAGAAGGUCCUGCUCUUUGUGGUGGGGUUGACGGUAGCUGGGUUAAUGAAGCGCCGGCUAACUACGUG
rnacentral:rRNA from 1 species